CCAAUUUCUUACCCUAUUGGGAAGGUGUUCCCUUCAAUGACGAUGAACUCAAACAGCGUAGCUGGCAGCAGCAGUCUGGAUCGCAGUCACCAUGUCACCAGCCACCAGGGCAUCGUUCGACGCCGGUGCUGCAGAAGGAAUACCCGAACAUCGGAACACAUGACACCGUGUUUUGCGGCUGUAAACACAAGACAGAAGCAGGUGAUCUGAAGUUUCUGAACCUUGAUCACACAAAGCACAGUCAUCGCAGUCUUGCAGUCCACGGCACAUUCUUCAUUCUGCCGUCCAGAAUCUGCCAUGGAUCGCCAUCCAGAGCUUUCAUUUCUGAGUCAUCUUUUUGUUCAG
rnacentral:misc_RNA from 1 species